CUACGCGUUGUAAACUGCUUUGGUACGGAGAAAACCUAUCUACGUGUAGAUAGCUGGAUAGUACCGUAAAGAUAAGCAUCGGCUAACUUCGUGC
rnacentral:rRNA from 1 species